rnacentral:rRNA from 1 species
GACGAACGCUGGCGGCGUGCUUAACACAUGCAAGUCGAGCGGUAAGGCCCUUUCGGGGGUACGACGAGCGGCGAACGGGUGAGUAACACGUGGGUGACCUGCCCUUAGCUCUGGGAUAAGCCUGGGAAACUGGGUCUAAUACCGGAUACGACUCCAUGACGCAUGUUGUGGGGUGGAAAGCCUUGUGCGGCUAGGGAUGGGCCCGCGGCCUAUCAGCUUGUUGGUGGGGUGAUGGCCUACCAAGGCGACGACGGGUAGCCGGCCUGAGAGGGCGACCGGCCACACUGGGACUGAGACACGGCCCAGACUCCUACGGGAGGCAGCAGUGGGGAAUCUUGCGCAAUGGGCGAAAGCCUGACGCAGCGACGCCGCGUGAGGGAUGACGGCCUU